UAGGUACUCCCUCCGUUCAGAAUUACUUGUCGCAGAAAUGAAUAUAUCUAGACAUAUUUUAGUUCUAGAUACAUCCAUUUCCGAGACAAAUAAUUCCGAACAGAGGGAGUAGCAU
rnacentral:pre_miRNA from 1 species